CUCACAACAUGCGUCAGCGAGCAGCGCGUCUGCGGCUAUUUAAAGGGUUUCGCCUCCAGCAGCAGUCAAUGCACUUGUUCUCCUCUGCGAAACCACAGCCUCCGACUCCACAAGACUCUCCACACUCCACAAGACUUCACCUCACUGAGGAACGCCACUGAAGAGGCAGCAUGGGUUUUACCAAUAAAUGUGUUCUGAGGAGUAAAGAGGGGCAGUUUGUGACAGUCAGGCAAUUCGACGAGGGACUGAAGCUGUGUACAGUUGAGCAUCAAGGUUCCAACAAUGCUCCUUUGGUGCACAUAGAAGAAAAAGAUGAUCGGGUGGCUUUCAUGUUCGAACAAGAAACAGUUUUCUAUUGCCCAAAGGUGGUUGGAGGUCAAUUAGAGUUGCAGAAGAUCAAUGACGGUUUGAUUAUCGAAGACAACUUGACUGCAAAUCAUUGGUUUGAGAGGUGUAAUGUUGAAGGCGGUAAUCUUUACGGCCUGCGAUCUGUGGUCGAACCGACACAAUACCUCUACUUUCAACCCCUACGGUUGAAAAGGUUUUCGGAAUCUCUACAUCCAAAUCGAACUGUGCUCUAGUCACAGAUGAAAAGUUAAGAGAGUAGGCAACCUGCAGCUGCCCACCUCCGUCUCCUUCCAAAGAACUCCAGAUUUCCAUGCUGGGGUAGAUGUCUUCCUCUGGGCCGAGGAGAAAGUGGAGCUUUAUCAUUCUUGGGGGUGCUAUGUGUCUUCUUGUUAAACUUAUUUAAAGGGAUACUAUGGAAUUAAGUAUUGUACUUCCACUCCUUCUGAGCUUCAGAAGACAUUAUAUAGCUGUUUUCAAAUUCUGACUUGUUCACUGCAUGACUAGUAAACUGCUCUCUAUGCGUAACAUUGGUAGCGUUUCCCCUUUAAUGUGAAAAUGUUCAUCAACUGCUUUUCAUGUGUAUUUAAGUGGGUAAGGUAUUAUAUAACAUGUCCAUCCAAACUCUAGCUCAUUAAUGUUGAAUGUACGUCAACGGGUGCCGUUUGCCUUUCCAGGUCUUGUGUUGCAGAUGGUGAUAAAGAAAAGUUUUAAUGUAUAUUUAAUUGUAUAUAUAUAUUUAUUUUU